rnacentral:rRNA from 1 species
GGGGAAUUUUGGACAAUGGGCGCAAGCCUGAUCCAGCCAUGCCGCGUGAGUGAAGAAGGCCUUCGGGUUGUAAAGCUCUUUCGGCCGGGAAGAAAUCGUGGUCUCUAACAUAGGCCAUGGAUGACGGUACCGGACUAAGAAGCACCGGCUAACUACGUGCCAGCAGCCGCGGUAAUACGUAGGGUGCGAGCGUUAAUCGGAAUUACUGGGCGUAAAGCGUGCGCAGGCGGUUUUGUAAGACAGAUGUGAAAUCCCCGGGCUUAACCUGGGAACUGCGUUUGUGACUGCAAGGCUAGAGUACGGCAGAGGGGGGUGGAAUUCCUGGUGUAGCAGUGAAAUGCGUAGAGAUCAGGAGGAACACCGAUGGCGAAGGCAGCCCCCUGGGCCUGUACUGACGCUCAUGCACGAAAGCGUGGGGAGCAAAC